GGUGAACGCUGGCGGCGUGCUUAAGACAUGCAAGUCGAACGCAGUCUUCGGACUGAGUGGCGCACGGGUGAGUAACACGUAACUGACCUACCCCCAAGUCGCGAAUAACCAGCCGAAAGGAUGGCUAAUACGUGAUGUGAUGAUCCGCUGUGGCGGAUCAUGAAAGACUUGAUCGCUUGGGGAUGGGGUUGCGUUCCAUCAGCUAAUUGCUAAGAUAAAGGCUGACCAAGGGAACGACGGAUAGGCGGCCCGGGAGGGUGGGCGGCCACAGGGGCACUGAGACACGGGUCGCACUCCUACGGGGGGAAGCAGGUAGGAAUCUUCCACAGUGGGCGCAAGCCUGAUGGAGCGAGGCCGCGUGAGGGAUGAAGGUUCUCGGAUCGUAAACCUCUGAACCAACGACGAAAGACCCGACAAGGGAGAUGACGGUAGUUGGGUAAUAGCACCGGCUAACUCCGUGCCAGCCGCCGCGGUAAUAC
rnacentral:rRNA from 1 species